rnacentral:miRNA from 2 species
CACAUUCAUCGCUGUCGGUGGGU